UACGUAGGGGGCAAGCGUUGUCCGGAUUUAUUGGGCGUAAAGAGCGUGUAGGCGGUUUGGUAGGUCCGCUGUGAAAACUCGAGGCUCAACCUCGAGACGCCGGUGGAAACCAUCAGGCUAGAGUCCGGAAGAGGAGAGUGGAAUUCCUGGUGUAGCGGUGAAAUGCGCAGAUAUCAGGAAGAACACCCGUGGCGAAGGCGGCUCUCUGGAACGCAACUGACGCUGAGACGCGAAAGCGUGGGGAGCAAACAGG
rnacentral:rRNA from 1 species